CCUCGCGGCCUUAUCAGUACAUCACGGUGGUUUUCAGGAACAGCCUUCCAUCUGCAACAGAGGACACACAGGAGCCAGGGAUUAGCCGACAGCGAAACAUCCUGCUGACGAAAACGCACCAUUCAGGAUGUGAUUGUUGAUGAAACGGUCGUGUAAACUUGCCGAACACAUCGAGUGGGAAGCGGCAGGGAACCGGCGGAGAUACCGGGGGAAGAUAUUGGCGUGUGCACCGUUGCCAGGCAGUACUGGCGAGCAUCUGUUCUUCCACUGCUGCGGUCACUCUCCAUCUCAGGGGUCAGAGAGUCUGAGAGAAGAGAGGGAUCACCGCCGUUAAACAUCCCUGACAUCCACCUAUCACAACGCAUCGUUCAUUCAAAACAAGACGCUCCGAGCUACGUCUCCUUCCCACGUGUGCGUUGGAUGGAGAGCGCCAUUAUUACCAGUGGUGAUAAAAACGACCCUCGUAUCUGUACAGACUUCGGGAUAAUGAUCUCUUAAAACUAGUGAACCUUGCAUUCUGUUGUUUGAUUAAAUAAAAGUACAGAUGUGUUGGUGGUUAAAUGAGUCGAUAGGAAAACUGUUUGGAUAUUGUCAUAUUGGGAUUUUGUAACUGGCCUGAUUACUCCACUCUGUGCUGUCUAAUGUUGAUGAACUACAGUGAAAUAAGUAAAUAAUACAUGUAGAACAAUAUUACAUGCACACCUAACUAAUAUGUUGAAAAUAAAACACAAUAUGACGGCAGGACAUUUAGUUUGAAAAAAACGUGUUAUUUGAAGGUUUCCCAGUAACAGUAAAGAUCUCAUCUUGUUUUCUAUGUAAAUCCUGAACUAUGCAACAAUCCCGUGCUGUUAGAUUCAAAUCAUGAAUUGAAUUACUCUCUACCUCUAACUGUUAAAUGAAAGCUUGUAAAUAUGUAUGUUAUGACGACACUCUGCACCCGACAUAGCAAUAUCUUACUAAGUAGAUGGUAAUAUGUGCAGAUUACAGCUUGAAUCAA